GACGGGGGGGGCAAGUGUUCUUCGGAAUGACUGGGCGUAAAGGGCACGUAGGCGGAUCGUUAAGUCAGGGGUGAAAUCCUGGAGCUCAACUCCAGAACUGCCUUUGAUACUGGCGAUCUUGAGUCCGGAAGAGGUGAGUGGAACUCCUAGUGUAGAGGUGAAAUUCGUAGAUAUUCGCAAGAACACCAGUGGCGAAGGCGGCUCACUGGUCCGAUACUGACGCUGAGGCACGAAAGCGUGGGGAGCAAACAGG
rnacentral:rRNA from 1 species